rnacentral:rRNA from 1 species
GUAACGGCGAGUGAAGCGGCAAAAGCUCAAAUUUGAAAUCUAGCACCUUCGGUGUUCGAGUUGUAAUUUGAAGAUGGUAACCUUGGGUUUGGCUCUUGUCUAUGUUCCUUGGAACAGGACGUCAUAGAGGGUGAGAAUCCCGUCUGAUGAGAUGCCCAUUCCUAUGUAAGGUGCUAUCGAAGAGUCGAGUUGUUUGGGAAUGCAGCUCUAAGUGGGUGGUAAAUUCCAUCUAAAGCUAAAUAUUGGCGAGAGACCGAUAGCGAACAAGUACAGUGAUGGAAAGAUGAAAAGAACUUUGAAAAGAGAGUGAAAAAGUACGUGAAAUUGUUGAAAGGGAAGGGCAUUAGAUCAGACUUGGUGUUUUACGAUUAUCUUCUCUUCUUGAGUUGUGCACUCGUAUUUCACUGGGCCAGCAUCGAUUCGGAUGGCAAGAUAAUGGCAGUUGAAUGUGGCUUCACUUCGGUGGAGUGUUAUAGCUUCUGCUGAUAUUGCCUGUCUGGAUCGAGGGCUGCGUCUUUUGACUAGGAUGCUGGCGUAAUGAUCUAAUGCCGCCCGUCUU